rnacentral:rRNA from 1 species
AUUGAACGCUGGCGGCAGGCCUAACACAUGCAAGUCGAGCGAGCGGCGGACGGGUGAGUAAUGUAUGGGGAACUGCCUGAUGGAGGGGGAUAACUACUGGAAACGGUAGCUAAUACCGCAUACCAUCAGAUGUACCCAUAUGGGAUUAGCUAGUAGGUGGGGUAAAGGCUCACCUAGGCGACGAUCCCUAGCUGGUCUGAGAGGAUGACCAGCCACACUGGAACUGAGACACGGCCCAGACUCCUACGGGAGGCAGCAGUGGGGAAUAUUGCACAAUGGGCGCAAGCCUGAUGCAGCCAUGCCGCGUGUAUGAAGAAGGCCUUAGGGUUGUAAAGUACUUUCAGCGGGGAGGCGUUACCCGCAGAAGAAGCACCGGCUAACUCCGUGCCAGCAGCCGCGGUAAUUC